rnacentral:rRNA from 1 species
GGGUUGUGAGGUUAAGCGACUAAGCGUACACGGUGGAUGCCCUGGCAGUCAGAGGCGAUGAAGGACGUGCUAAUCUGCGAUAAGCGUCGGUAAGGUGAUAUGAACCGUUAUAACCGGCGAUUUCCGAAUGGGGAAACCCAGUGUGAUUCGUCACACUAUCAUUAACUGAAUCCAUAGGUUAAUGAGGCGAACCGGGGGAACUGAAACAUCUAAGUACCCCGAGGAAAAGAAAUCAACCGAGAUUCCCCCAGUAGCGGCGAGCGAACGGGGAGCAGCCCAGAGCCUGAAUCAGUGUGUGUGUUAGUGGAAGCGUCUGGAAAGGCGUGCGAUACAGGGUGACAGCCCCGUACACAAAAAUGCACAUGCUGUGGGCUCGAUGAGUAGGGCGGGACACGUGGUAUCCUGUCUGAAUAUGGGGGGACCAUCCUCCAAGGCUAAAUACUCCUGACUGACCGAUAGUGAACCAGUACCGUGAGGGAAAGGCGAAAAGAACCCCGGCGAGGGGAGUGAAAAAGAACCUGAAACCGUGUACGUACAAGCAGUGGGAGCACAGAGCAAUCUGUGUGACUGCGUACCUUUUGUAUAAUGGGUCAGCGACUUAUAUUCUGUAGCAAGGUUAACCGAAUAGGGGAGCCGAAGGGAAACCGAGUCUUAACUGGGCGUUAAGUUGCAGGGUAUAGACCCGAAACCCGGUGAUCUAGCCAUGGGCAGGUUGAAGGUUGGGUAACACUAACUGGAGGACCGAACCGACUAAUGUUGAAAAAUUAGCGGAUGACUUGUGGCUGGGGGUGAAAGGCCAAUCAAACCGGGAGAUAGCUGGUUCUCCCCGAAAGCUAUUUAGGUAGCGCCUCGUGAAUUCAUCUCCGGGGGUAGAGCACUGUUUCGGCAAGGGGGUCAUCCCGACUUACCAACCCGAUGCAAACUGCGAAUACCGGAGAAUGUUAUCACGGGAGACACACGGCGGGUGCUAACGUCCGUCGUGAAGAGGGAAACAACCCAGACCGCCAGCUAAGGUCCCAAAGUCAUGGUUAAGUGGGAAACGAUGUGGGAAGGCCCAGACAGCCAGGAUGUUGGCUUAGAAGCAGCCAUCAUUUAAAGAAAGCGUAAUAGCUCACUGGUCGAGUCGGCCUGCGCGGAAGAUGUAACGGGGCUAAACCAUGCACCGAAGCUGCGGCAGCGACGCUUAUGCGUUGUUGGGUAGGGGAGCGUUCUGUAAGCCUGCGAAGGUGUGCUGUGAGGCAUGCUGGAGGUAUCAGAAGUGCGAAUGCUGACAUAAGUAACGAUAAAGCGGGUGAAAAGCCCGCUCGCCGGAAGACCAAGGGUUCCUGUCCAACGUUAAUCGGGGCAGGGUGAGUCGACCCCUAAGGCGAGGCCGAAAGGCGUAGUCGAUGGGAAACAGGUUAAUAUUCCUGUACUUGGUGUUACUGCGAAGGGGGGACGGAGAAGGCUAUGUUGGCCGGGCGACGGUUGUCCCGGUUUAAGCGUGUAGGCUGGUUUUCCAGGCAAAUCCGGAAAAUCAAGGCUGAGGCGUGAUGACGAGGCACUACGGUGCUGAAGCAACAAAUGCCCUGCUUCCAGGAAAAGCCUCUAAGCAUCAGGUAACAUCAAAUCGUACCCCAAACCGACACAGGUGGUCAGGUAGAGAAUACCAAGGCGCUUGAGAGAACUCGGGUGAAGGAACUAGGCAAAAUGGUGCCGUAACUUCGGGAGAAGGCACGCUGAUAUGUAGGUGAAGUCCCUCGCGGAUGGAGCUGAAAUCAGUCGAAGAUACCAGCUGGCUGCAACUGUUUAUUAAAAACACAGCACUGUGCAAACACGAAAGUGGACGUAUACGGUGUGACGCCUGCCCGGUGCCGGAAGGUUAAUUGAUGGGGUUAGCGCAAGCGAAGCUCUUGAUCGAAGCCCCGGUAAACGGCGGCCGUAACUAUAACGGUCCUAAGGUAGCGAAAUUCCUUGUCGGGUAAGUUCCGACCUGCACGAAUGGCGUAAUGAUGGCCAGGCUGUCUCCACCCGAGACUCAGUGAAAUUGAACUCGCUGUGAAGAUGCAGUGUACCCGCGGCAAGACGGAAAGACCCCGUGAACCUUUACUAUAGCUUGACACUGAACAUUGAGCCUUGAUGUGUAGGAUAGGUGGGAGGCUUUGAAGUGUGGACGCCAGUCUGCAUGGAGCCGACCUUGAAAUACCACCCUUUAAUGUUUGAUGUUCUAACGUUGACCCGUGAUCCGGGUUGCGGACAGUGUCUGGUGGGUAGUUUGACUGGGGCGGUCUCCUCCUAAAGAGUAACGGAGGAGCACGAAGGUUGGCUAAUCCUGGUCGGACAUCAGGAGGUUAGUGCAAUGGCAUAAGCCAGCUUGACUGCGAGCGUGACGGCGCGAGCAGGUGCGAAAGCAGGUCAUAGUGAUCCGGUGGUUCUGAAUGGAAGGGCCAUCGCUCAACGGAUAAAAGGUACUCCGGGGAUAACAGGCUGAUACCGCCCAAGAGUUCAUAUCGACGGCGGUGUUUGGCACCUCGAUGUCGGCUCAUCACAUCCUGGGGCUGAAGUAGGUCCCAAGGGUAUGGCUGUUCGCCAUUUAAAGUGGUACGCGAGCUGGGUUUAGAACGUCGUGAGACAGUUCGGUCCCUAUCUGCCGUGGGCGCUGGAGAACUGAGGGGGGCUGCUCCUAGUACGAGAGGACCGGAGUGGACGCAUCACUGGUGUUCGGGUUGUCAUGCCAAUGGCACUGCCCGGUAGCUAAAUGCGGAAGAGAUAAGUGCUGAAAGCAUCUAAGCACGAAACUUGCCCCGAGAUGAGUUCUCCCUGACUCCUUGAGAGUCCUGAAGGAACGUUGAAGACGACGACGUUGAUAGGCCGGGUGUGUAAGCGCAGCGAUGCGUUGAGCUAACCGGUACUAAUGAACCGUGAGGCUUAACCUUACAACGCCGAAGCUGUU